GAUUCAGGGGGUUUGGCUGAAUCCAAAAUAGUGGAUUUGGUGCAUCCUUAAUAACAACCAGAUUGCUGAAACUGCAGAGCUGCUGAAUAAAAAGCUAAACUUAAACCACAAAUAUUAAAAAAUGAACCAAUUGCCUCGGAAUAUCACUCUUAAAGUUAACGACCCCUUUAAUGUGUCUGUAUAAACAAAGGUGUUACGAUUAAAGGUCUAGGCAUUUAUAGGAACCAAUUGGCAGAUACACUAGAACACUAUAGCAUUUAUUGGGUAAUGUGUUUUAAAUUAAAGCUGUUGUUGCUCCUGGGCAGACUAGCCUUCCUAUGUGAUAAAAAGCCAAAGUUUUUGCUGGAGUAGUAACCGAUGAUAAAUGUGCUUUUAAACAGGUAACCUUUUAAUCCUACCUGCUGAUUGUUAGCUAUAGGUGAUUAAGAACUGGUGCAAACUUUGCUCCUGAUAUUGCACAACCUCAAAUAGGUCUCAUCACAUACAUGUCUGAUAUUGGCAUAACCCCAACUGUAUAUAAUUCCUGAUCUGCCUUGUGUUACGGUUUAUUGAACACUGAUGUAUGUUGGUUGUUUGUGUGAGAAUGUUGUCACUGAUCCAGCCCCUUCACUGUCCAUUCGAAGCUUUCUCGUGGUGCAUCGCAAUGGCUAACACAGGGGGGUAGAAUAUGUCCUCACUAAAACACAGGGGUAGAGGCUAAUCUCUUCCCCUGUAUCCUGUCGUGAGGUACAUGCUGUCCAGCUGAGAUCUACCUGAGUAAAUGUGACUGAGCUAUGUACAUCUUGCUGAAAGUAACAAUUCUGCUCUGACUGUUCUUCCUUAAUUUUUAGCCUCAUUAUGAUCUGCUUUGACUCAAGUUUUAGCCUCAUUAUGAUAAGUCUUUUAACUCUAGAAGUACAUGUCAAGGGCCAAUCAUUGGCACUGAGUUUUUGAACAAGUUUUGCUUAGAAUGUCCUCUCUAAAAAAGCGAAAUUCUAAUGUUGUCAAUUUCCUCCACAGGCUCCUUGAAGAUGAAAUCCUGGGGCCUUACUUCCAUCCAGCAUAGGUUGUGUGCAGAGCCUCCAUUUGUUUUCUGAAAUUAAAGUAGUGGAUGCAGAAAAGAGCAGAAGUCAGCAGUGCUUGGGUAAAAGUCAUCUUGUGAUGUAUCCAACCAUAUUUGUCCUGGAAUGGGUUGUCAGUAGGGUUGCCACCUCACCCCUUUACAACCAAACACAUAUGGAAUCCACAGCCUCAAUGGCUAAUUAACAAUUCAUUGAUGCAUGGCUGCACAUAAGCGAGGAACUCCACGGUGCGGCUCAAGCCGACCCUUUGCCAUCUGACGAACCGCAUGCAAUGUGUCUGAUGUUUUGAAGUUACAGGAAUUGAAUGAGAAAUCGCAGGCUAAGAACUACAUUUAUCAGACUGUCGGAUGAAAACACAGCAUGCAGCGUCGCAUUGCGUUUCGUCGCAUGGCUACGUGUCUGCUUGAGCCGCACCAUGGCGUAACUCCCUAAAUCAGUUCAGUCUGCAGCAUGCAUAUAAAUAAAUUGCUAAUUAUCCUUGCAGGCUUUGGAUUCUAGAUGUUAGGUUUUAAAGGGGUGAGGUGGCAACCAUGUUAGUCUGCACCCUUGUUAAUUAAACCUACUUUUAUGGUAUAUUUUUUUAAUGAAAUUCAAGGAAAUUGUUUAUGGGCCCCUAUUAUGGCAGAGACUUAGGCUAUGGACACACAUGAUGGUGUCAGUUGGGGUAUUUUUUGCAGGCUGAGAAGCAGAUCUGCUCAUUGCCCCUGCUCCAUUGAUUUGAAUCAGAUCAGCCUGUGUGCGGUCACACACUGACCUCUGCAUCAGCUCCACUAUGUGUGACCGCACACAGGCCAAUCUCCUUCAAAUCAAUGGAACAGGGACACUGAGCAGAUCUGCUUCUCUCGGCCUGCAAAAAUACUCAGACUGAUAACACCAUGUCUAUAGUCUUGGGGAAAUGAAUAAACAUUGCAAUAUGCCAUUAGCCAAAAACUACUUUAAAUUAAUUUUCCUCUAUCCAUAGGUCCCUUUAUUUAAAAUGUGCUUAUGUAAUAUCUGACUUGUAUUCUAAACAUUUCCAACUAAAAUAAAGAUCUGAAUUACUUUGAGAUUGUAACCAAAAUAGAUGUGAAACAGUGUCGGGUAAGUCUCUCAAAGAACCAGUUUCCUCAUUGAGUUGAAAUGCAGCUACUUGUGAUAGUUUUGUUCCUAUAUGUACAGUGCUUAUCACUGGUUGCCAUAGGUUUGCCCAGAUUCAAAACCCCCUGUUUAUAAGUGACAUACACUUUACUGUCAUCUAAUGUCAAAUUCAACAUAACAUUUUUUCCCUCUGGCUGCAACCAGUAGUGGAAAUUGCUGCAGCUAGGAGUAAUGCUCCCCAUAGACGAGACGAUUCUUCUUGCCGAACGAUCCAUUUUAGGGAACCCCCGACCAAUCCUUCGAAAUUAAUGUGCAGUUAGUAGGAUUCGAACGAUCGUACAUCUUACGAUUUUUUUGGCCGACAUCUGUCAGGAAAUUGGAUCAGCCAGGUCAAAAAAAUCUGUCAGUCCCAGUGCAAUCUAUCUAUGUUUGCAGGGCCAAGCAGGCAGCUCCCCUUUGUUUUCCUGGCAAAUUGGUCUUUUUAGUUGAUGGUUAAUUCGUACAAUCGUUCUGAGAAGAUCGUGGUCUCACGAUCAGGAUCUGAUCUUUUAAAAAUCUCAACAUCUAUGGCCAGCUUAAGACUAAUGUCAGACUUGCAAUUUCACAGCUGGCAGAGAACACUGAACACUAAAUACAGAUUCAGUUCUAAAUUAAUUACUAAUUAAAUGCUAAAAUGUGAAUUUUCUGGCAGAAAUCUGCCAAGUGAGACAUUAGCCUUUGAAGUAUAAAUCUAGACUUGUGCAAAAGUACAGCAUUUAUAGCACCAAAGACGUAACGGCCAAUAGUAGUCUAAUUAUAGUCGGUCAGAUUAUCUGGCUUAAUUAGGAUGAUUUUCUCUAUUAAAAGUGAGUACUGCAGCCAUUAUACUGCCUUUAUAUGUUAGGGAAGUCAAUUGUAAGCUCCAUUGGAGCAUGGACUGAUAUGAUUUUUUACCAAUGUCUGUGAAGUGCUCUUACCAUUUACUAUACAAGUGAAGAUAAAAUCAGUCACUACACAAUGUAUUUCUACAGUUGUAAAUGUAUGAAAUGUAUAAACCAUGUCAAUAAAGCAUUGUAACAAA